AUGAUUGCAUCUCUAAUGAGCAGCGAACUGGUUAACAGUUCAGAACGGCCGAUUCAGCUGCCAGCACUUGACGAAGUCGUAGAGAGCCAGGAGCUUGAUGACUCUCCAAGCGAAGAGACCCAGAUCGAUCUUGUGCGUGAUGUUUCCGAAGAAGACAACUCUGUUUCAACUAGAUCUGUAGGAGGGUGGAUCAGAAGACCGAGGCAUGGGGUCAUGCCAGAUGAAAGGAAGACUAAACCAGAUAGAGUUGCACCUCUGGAGCAGGCUUUGAGAGGGUUUGCUACCAGGAAAACAGAUGCAGUGGUUUCACCUUCGGUUGGUCUGGUUUUCGAUUCUUUGGGUGAAGCUUAUGAUUUCUACAACCUAUAUUCUUGGGAGCUAGGAUUUGGCAUCAGAUGCGGCAAAAGCAGAACCAACGUUAGGGGCACAAAAUGCAUGCAAGAACUUCUCUGUGGUUGUUCUGGGAAACCAAAGAAAACUAAUACCACUUCCUGCCGUUCUGAAUGCCCCGCCAUGUUACGCCUUCUAAGAACAGAAGAUCAAGGAUGGUUUAUCUGUGAGUAUAGGAAUGUGCACAAUCACGCUAUGCUAGCAAAUUGUGCAGCGAAGUUGCAUUUCCCGUCACAUCGUCAUAUUGAAAAAUACACUAGAGAGCUUGUGUCUCAGCUUCGUGAGAAUAACAUAAAUCUAAGCAAAGUUUACAGUAUAAUUGGCACGUUUUUUGGUAGAAUAGAGAAUGUACCUUUCACUAAAAGGUGCCUUAGGAUGCUAUGUGGAAAAAUAAGCAAGGAACAGGCGGAUGACGAUGUUAGGAAAACUAUGGAUUUGUUUUCAGAUUUGAAAGAAAGAGACAGUGAGUUCCAGUAUACAGUUCAAGUAGACACCGAGAGUAGGAUAAGAAAAAUUUUGUGGACUAAUGGACGUAGCAAGCUCCAGUACCAUCAUUUUGGCGAUGUGGUUACAUUCGAUACAACAUAUAAGACCAACCUGUACGAUAUGCCUUUCGGAUUGUUUGUUGGAGUAAACAAUCACUUCCAGAGUGUGCUUUAUGCCGGCGUCUUGAUGCGUGAUGAGAAAGUAGAGAGUUUUGAAUGGGUUUUUAGCGAAUUUGUAAAGAUGAUGGGAGGGAAGAAACCAGUUACAAUUUUAAUAGGUAACACUACAGCAGCACUAAUGAUUCUGUUUCAAAUUUUUAACUAA
rnacentral:rRNA from 1 species